GACGAACGCUGGCGGCGUGCUUAACACAUGCAAGUCGAACGAAGAGCGAUGGAAGCUUGCUUCUAUCAAUCUUAGUGGCGAACGGGUGAGUAACGCGUAGUCAACCUGCCCUUCAGAGGGGGACAACAGUUGGAAACGACUGCUAAUACCGCAUACGAUCUAAACUCGGCAUCGAGGAUAGAUGAAAGGUGGCCUCUACAUGUAAGCUAUCACUGAAGGAGGGGAUUGCGUCUGAUUAGCUAGUUGGAGGGGUAACGGCCCACCAAGGCGAUGAUCAGUAGCCGGUCUGAGAGGAUGAACGGCCACAUUGGGACUGAGACACGGCCCAGACUCCUACGGGAGGCAGCAGUGGGGAAUCUUCCGCAAUGGACGAAAGUCUGACGGAGCAACGCCGCGUGAGUGAUGACGGCCUUCGGGUUGUAAAGCUCUGUUAAUCGGGACGAAAGGCCUUCUUGCGAAUAGUGAGAAGGAUUGACGGUACCGGAAGAGAAAGCCACGGCUAACUACGUG
rnacentral:rRNA from 1 species